rnacentral:rRNA from 1 species
GAUGAACGCUAGCGGCAGGCCUAACACAUGCAAGUCGAGGGGUAUAAGUCUUCGGACUUUGAGACCGGCGCACGGGUGCGUAACGCGUAUGCAAUCUACCUUGUACAGAGGGAUAGCCCAGAGAAAUUUGGAUUAAUACCUCAUAGUAUAUUUGAAUGGCAUCAUUUAAAUAUUAAAGUCCCAACGGUACAAGAUGGGCAUGCGUCCCAUUAGUUAGUUGGUGUGGUAACGGCACACCAAGACGUUGAUGGGUAGGGGUCCUGAGAGGGGGAUCCCCCACACUGGUACUGACACACGGACCAGACUCCGACGGGAGGCGGCAGUGGGGAAUAUUGGUCAAUUGAGGCAACUUUGACCCAGCCAUGCCGCGUGCAGGAUGACGGGUCUAUGGAUUGUAAACUGCUUUUAUACGGGAAUAAAAAGAGUUACGUGUAACUUAUUGACGGUACCGUAAGAAUAAGGAUCGGCUAAGUCCGUGCCAGCAGCCGCCGUAA